GCCUAUUUAGGCGGGUGUACCCGA
rnacentral:siRNA from 1 species